rnacentral:rRNA from 1 species
CGAACGGUAGAGUAGCAAUACUUGAGAGUGGCGAACGGGUGAGUAAUAUAUCGGAACGUGCCCAGUUGUGGGGGAUAACGUAGAGAAAUUUACGCUAAUACCGCAUACGAUCUACGGAUGAAAGCGGGGGAUUCGCAAGAACCUCGCGCGAUUGGAGCGGCUGAUAUCAGAUUAGGUUGUUGGUGAGGUAAAAGCUCACCAAGCCGACGAUCUGUAGCUGGUUUGAGAGAACGACCAGCCACACUGGGACUGAGACACGGCCCAGACUCCUACGGGAGGCAGCAGUGGGGAAUUUUGGACAAUGGGCGAAAGCCUGAUCCAGCAAUGCCGCGUGUGGGAAGAAGGCCUUCGGGUUGUAAACCACUUUUGUACGGAACGAAACGGUUCGCUUUAAUACAGUGGGCUAAUGACGGUACCGUAAGAAUAAGCACCCGGCUAACUACGUGCCAG